UGGGGUAUAGCUCAAUGGUAAAGAAUUUGUUUAUCAUGCACGAGGUCCUGGGUUCAAUUCCUGGUACCUCCA
rnacentral:tRNA from 1 species